rnacentral:tRNA from 1 species
GUGUCUGUGGUGUAGUGGUAGCACGCUGUACACAUUAGUGACAAGUGGUCCCAGGUUCGAAUCCUGGCAGACACA